rnacentral:rRNA from 1 species
AUUGAACGCUGGCGGCAGGCCUAACACAUGCAAGUCGAGCGGAUAAGGGAAGCUUGCUUCCCGAUUUAGCGGCGGACGGGUGAGUAAUGCCUAGGAAUCUGCCUAUUAGUGGGGGAUAACGUUCCGAAAGGAACGCUAAUACCGCAUACGUCCUACGGGAGAAAGUGGGGGAUCUUCGGACCUCACGCUAAUAGAUGAGCCUAGGUCGGAUUAGCUAGUUGGUGGGGUAACGGCUCACCAAGGCGACGAUCCGUAGCUGGUCUGAGAGGAUGAUCAGCCACACUGGAACUGAGACACGGUCCAGACUCCUACGGGGGGCAGCAGUGGGGGAUAUUGGACAAUGGGCGAAAGCCUGAUCCAGCCAUGCCGCGUGUGUGAAGAAGGUCUUCGGAUUGUAAAGCACUUUAAGUUGGGAGGAAGGGUUGUAAGCUAAUAUCUUGCAGCUUUGACGUUACCAACAGAAUAAGCACCGGCUAACUCUGUGCCAGCCGCCGCUGUAACAC